rnacentral:tRNA from 1 species
GCCUUCGUGGUGAAGUGGUGAGGACGCUGGGCGCGUAUUCCGAAGGUCUGUGGUUCGAGUCCCGGCGAAGGCG